rnacentral:rRNA from 1 species
UACGGAGACUGCGAGCGUUACUCGGAUUCACUGGGCGUAAAGGGUGCGCAGGCGGCUAAUUGUGUCAGGUGUGAAAUCCCGGGCUUAACUCCGGAACUGCGCCUGAAACUGAUUGGCUAGAGGCUCGGAGAGGUAAGCGGAAUUCCAGGUGUAGCAGUGAAAUGCGUAGAUAUCUGGAGGAACACCAAAGGCGAAGGCAGCUUACUGGAAGAGUUCUGACGCUCAGGCACGAAAGCGUGGGUAGCGAAAGGG